GUGUCCUCUGUCCCCGAAGUGUGCUUGCGAGAAGGGCGAGAGAGGACCUAGCGGCCCGGCGGGAAAGAAGGGUCGCCCAGGUGAGGAUGGAGGCCCUGGGGCUAAAGGUCAAAAGGGUGAAUCUGGUUUGAGUGGACUUCCUGGUCGUGAGGGUACAGAGGUGAGGGGCUGAAGCAGGGUCACAAA